AAAAAAAAUAGCGCGGUGGUCCCACCUGACCCCAUGCCGAACUCAGAAGUGAAACGCCGUAGCGCCGAUGGUAGUGUGGGAACUGCCAGGCAUCAAAUA
rnacentral:rRNA from 1 species